UCCGCCGGCCGGCCGCAGAGGGGUGCAUGGCAGCGGCGCCUGAGCCGCGGCGACUCCCGACAGCGGCAGCUGCAGCUACUGAGCCGCGCUCUGCUCCGUGCCAGCGGCCGCAGCAACUUCGCCGCUCCGAAGGCUGCGGAAGCGGGGCGAUGUAGCGGCGCACCCGGCAGCGCGAAGCAGCGCGGAGCGGAGUCCCCCCAACCUCUCUUCCCGGUGGGGCGGAGCGGAGCCCCCCUCCUCCAUCCUCGGCGGAGCAGCGCGGAACAGAGUGGAGCUCCCCGCCUCUCUUCCUCCUUCCCGGCCUCCUUCCCUUCCCGGCGGCAGCCGCAGCCCGGGGCGGGAGCGCGGAUGCGGCGCGGAGCCCGGCGGAGCCCAUCGCGGGGCCAGGGCCGCGCGCCGCGAAGAGCGGGGGGAUGCUGAGCCCCGCCGCACGGCACCGCGCCCGCCUCCGGGAGAUGCUCCUCGUGCUCGCUCUGUGGCUGGCGUGGCAAGAAGCGCCCGCGGCGCCGACCCCCGCGGCGGAGGACAUCACCCGGGGAGUUGACUGGCUGACAAAAUUUGGGUAUCUGCCUCCUCCGGACCCUGUCACGGGGCAGCUGCAGACGCAGGAGGAGCUCACCAAGGCCAUCACUGCCAUGCAGAGGUUCGGGGGGCUUGAGGCCACAGGAGUCCUAGAUGAAGCCACCCUGGAGCUGAUGAAGACCCCUCGCUGUUCUCUGCCUGACCUCACCAUUGAAGAGACCAGGAGGAAGCGAUUUGCCCAGGCUGUCACCAAGUGGAGCAAAAGGAACUUGUCCUGGAGAGUUCGCACCUUCCCAAAAGAGUCCCACCUGGGCCACGACACUGUCCGAGCCCUGAUGUACUAUGCCCUGAAGGUCUGGAGUGACAUCACUCCGUUGAAUUUCCAUGAAGUGGCCGGAAACAAUGCUGACAUCCAGAUAGAUUUCUCCAAAGCAGAUCACAAUGAUGGCUAUCCCUUUGAUGGGCCUGGUGGGACGGUGGCACAUGCUUUCUUCCCCGGAGACCAUCACACAGCAGGGGACACUCAUUUUGACGAGGACGAAUAUUGGACCUUCCGAUCAUCAGACACUCAUGGGAUGGACCUAUUUGCUGUAGCUGUCCAUGAGUUUGGCCAUGCCAUCGGCUUGACCCACAUUUCUGCCAUAGAGUCUAUCAUGAGACCCUACUACCAAGGUCCAGUGGGAGAUCCUCUGAAGUACGACCUGCCUUACGAGGACAAAGUCCGGAUCUGGCAACUCUAUGGAGUCAGGGAAUCUGUGUCCCCCACAGCCAAGCCUGAAGUAAGCAAAACAGAUGAUCAUCCAAUGCUGCCAGAGCUGCCAGAGAACCGCUCCACUGUCCUGCUCAGGCGGGACGUGCCCAACAGGUGUAACACGCACUUCGAUGCAGUGGCCCAGAUCCGGGGAGAGGCUUUCUUCUUCAAAGGCAAGUACUUCUGGAGACUGACUCGCAAUAAGCACUUGGUCUCCCUCCAGCCGGCUCAGAUUCACCGUUUCUGGCGGGGCUUGCCGCUCAACCUGGAGAGCCUAGACGCAGUCUACGAGAGAACCAGCGACCACAAGAUUGUCUUCUUCAAAGGAGACAGAUACUGGGUCUUCAAAGAUAACAAUGUGGAAGAAGGGUACCCACGGCCCAUUUCGGACUUCGGCCUGCCCCUGGGAGGAGUCGACGCUGCUUUUUCCUGGGCUCACAAUGACAAGACUUAUUUCUUUAAGGACAAUCUCUACUGGUGCUACGAUGACCAUGAGCGGAGGAUGGAUCCCGGCUAUCCUUCAGAGGCCAUCCCAUGGAAGGGAAUACCCAACCCUUUAGAUGAUGCCAUGAGGUGGUCAGAUGGUGCAAGUUACUUCUUCAAGGGCAAGGAGUACUGGAAGGUGCUGGACAGUGAUCUGGAGGUGCAGCCCGGGUACCCACAGUCCAUCGCCAGGGACUGGCUGGUGUGCAGUGACAUGCAGGCUGACGCCCCCGAGGCAGCUGGGAGCAGCAGGACUGGGGCGCGCUCCAGGCCGGGACAGCACGACGAGAGCCGCUCGAAGAACCGUUACGAGGUCUGCUCCUGCACCUCGGGCACCCCAUCCCUGCGCCCUCACCCCAUACCGAGACUGACUGUCAGCCUCGUGCUGGCUGUGUGGACAGCAGCACUGGUCUGUGUGGCCCUCUGACGGCUCAUCUCACCAGCAGGACAACACCAUGGUGCUUCAGGAUACAGCUCCGUGAUUGCUAACUGUUGCAAGCAGAAAAAAAACAUUCCUAAGAACAUGCCAGUGAAAGGUGUCACGCACAAUAACAGCCAUAUCCUUGGACUCAGGAUGAAGCUGGAGACUUGGGGAUCCAGGCACACUAAGGAGAGGAUAAGUAGCUGACUUGAUGGGAUUUGGCCCGCAUAACACUAAACUUGUACAUUGAUUUUGAUGUUCUUUAUUGUAGCUGACUAAGAGGCUAACAGGCGAUCAUGCUGCCUUCUGAGGCAUACUCAUUUCAGGUCCAAUGGGGAUUCACAUCACCGGUCAUCCAAAAGAUAAGUUGGGGGCCAUGGCCUGGAGAUGAGAUGAUAGGAGAGUAGCAGGUUAGAAAUUCUUGGGACAGAUUUAAAAAUUAGCAGAGCACGCUUGGAGCACGCCAAGCUCCCAUCCCCAACGGGCCGAUGGACUGAGUUUGCCGCUCUCGCGAGCCCUGUCUUCUGGGUAGCUGUCAGGAACCGCCGAGGAGUUGCGGUGAGUCGGGGAAGUAGGGAGGAGGAGCGAGGGUCAGCUCAGUUUUCAGCAAUGCCACAUCACCUCCUGUCCUCUUAACCCAGGCAUACCUUGCAAUGAUGGCGUUGGCCUUUGAGCGCAGCUGAAGCAUGCAACCCAAGGAGCCGGGCCUACCUAGGAGCAUGGAUGAUUAGCACAACAGGGCUCUGAUGGAUGACUUGGCAACACAGAAUUAAAAACUCCUCAAUAGGAUUACAUCGACUUCUAGGAAAACACAAAAGCCUAUCACCCUUCUGAAAUCUACUUUUUAUCCGAAGCGCAUGGAUUGUCACUAUAACUGCAACUUCCAGCUUUUCAAAGCAGCUUACUUCUGAAGACCAGGAAACAUCUAUUUCUACAAAAAUAAUAGGCAACACCCAGGCUAAUCUAAGCACUACUGUUUAAUAGGGGAUCUGCCAGCGUGCCAGUCCAGCUUAAAGCAUGCUUUAUUUCAGUCUAACAUCCCCACAAAAUUCUUCUCAUAUCUCCCAACCCUGAAAUGUUAUUUUUCCCUAAAGCUUCUCAUCAUUAGCAAUUUCCAAGCAAUAUGGUUUUUUUACAACAUUCAAAAAUGUCAUGCUGGACUGUACUAGAGAGUAAUUUUCAAAUAUAAGCUUAGCAAAGUUUGAAUUAACUUGUCCACAGAAAAAACCUAAAAGUGAACACCUACACCCGCCUAAAAAGAGCUAACAAGCCCCUGGCAGCUACCAGCAUCAAAGCACAGUGGAUGUUUCUAAUGCAGGAUGAGGAUAACAGUAUCACCUUUUGUUCUCUCCAGUUUGUUUUCUCUGCAGUCAUAUUUGCUUCUUAUGAUUUUUUUAGUCUCUAUCUUUUUGGGCAGCACUGAGUCUGACGACCAGGACACGAGAGUCUUUCCCUGCCGGAUGGAAAGUACCAGGAAAAAAGUUAAAAAAAGAACACAGUAGUUUGAAAUUAAUACUUCUGGUGAGAAGCAGCACCUAACCAACAGAGCAAAAGCAAACAAAGCAUGAUACCUCUCUGGGGACAGAAGACUUACAAACUCUCCAGGAUUUACAAUUGUAGUAACCAACCCCUUCAGGACAGUAGCCAAGUGUCCCAUUAGGUGGUGCUGCACCAAAGAAUGAUCUGAGAGGUUCCAAAGAGUGAAAUGCACAAUAUUUUGCAAAGACAUAAAAUCUUGCAAAAUAACAAAACUACAACAGAUAUAAACUGCAGGGCAAGAGUACAAGUGUCAGCUUUAAGAGCUGGAACCAUCCAGGUGAGCAACUGAUGACUGGAUCCUCAACAGAGUUUGAGCCCUUCAGGAUACAGAAGGGUUUUCUCCAGAAAUUUCACAGACUGAGUUUUGAUAUAACUACACUUGCCAGAUCCUCAGAAACAUCACCCAUUCUCCAGGUGUCUGGAGAGAACCGCAAAUGGCUCUCACAUAGUUUGAGCUAGUUCUGUAAGGUCUCGGGGUGAAUUUUACCAGAUGCAACCAAACUGGGCAACUCCCAGUGGGACAGAAGGAACCCAAAGCAUGUUUUACCAAAGCGUGGGCAAGCACAGCUCCAGCAAAUACUGAGGAAACAGACAUAACAGGGUAAAAAAUAAUAAACCUAUUUUUUUAAUCUUGCG